AACUGGAUCCCUUUAAUAUGAUCGUCCUGGAUAGUCCUGGAAUAUUUGCAGAUAACCAAUGGGGUUUACCCAAGGAUCACUGAGAGGACACUACAAGGAAGGUUGAAAACUCGAUCCCUUUAAUAUGAUCGUCCUGGAUAGUCCUGGAAUAUUUGCAGAUAACCAAUGGGGUUUACCCAAGGAUCACUGAGAGGACACUACAAGGAAGGUUGAAAACUCGAUCCCUUUAAUAUGAUCGUCCUGGAUAGUCCUGGAAUAUUUGCAGAUAACCAAUGGGGUUUACCCAAGGAUCACUGAGAGGACACUACAAGGAAGGUUGAAAACUCGAUCCCUUUAAUAUGAUCGUCCUGGAUAGUCCUGGAAU